UCCCUGGCAGUCCAGUAGUUAAGACUCUGCACUUCCACUGCAGGAGGUAUGGGUUCGAUCCCUGGUCUGGGAA
rfam:TPA: Bos taurus chromosome 1, whole genome shotgun sequence.